CCUUACAGUAAUACAUUAAAACAGCGUGAAAUAUGACUUGUCAUGUACAUCACUACCUUCCUCUCGUCCUGGUUGACAAGUAUCUGGUACCAAUGGGGGGGGGUGGUUGAAGGGGGGGGGUAGGGGUAAUCUUUUAGCUCACAUGCAUAUCCCUUAUAGUUGUGAAGCCCUUGGUCUCAUUGGCCUUAUCCCGGCCGUCAUGUUAUUUCCAGCCUAUACUCGCCUUUGAGCUUUCUAUGUAUCUUGGUCCUGCACUUUGGCUCCCCUAUUUUAACCAGAUCAAAACGCUAAACUAAAGAACUAU